rnacentral:rRNA from 1 species
CCGGACACACGUGUUACAAUGGGGGGUACAGAGGGCCGCUACCACGCGAGUGGAUGCCAAUCCCCAAAACCUCUCUCAGUUCGGACUGGAGUCUGCAACCCGACUCCACGAAGCUGGAUUCGCUAGUAAUCGCGCAUCAGCCACGGCGCGGUGAAUACGUUCCCGGGCCUUGUACACACCGCCCGUCAAGCCAUGGGAGCCGGGGGUACCUGAAGUGCGUAACCGCGAGGAGCGCCCUAGGGUAAAACUGGUGACUGGGGCUAAGUCGUAACAAGGUACC